rnacentral:rRNA from 1 species
GAUGAACGCUGGCGGCGUGCCUAAUACAUGCAAGUCGAGCGAACAGACGAGGAGCUUGCUCCUCUGACGUUAGCGGCGGACGGGUGAGUAACACGUGGAUAACCUACCUAUAAGACUGGGAUAACUUCGGGAAACCGGAGCUAAUACCGGAUAACAUGUUGAACCGCAUGGUUCAACAGUGAAAGACGGUCUUGCUGUCACUUAUAGAUGGAUCCGCGCCGCAUUAGCUAGUUGGUAAGGUAACGGCUUACCAAGGCAACGAUGCGUAGCCGACCUGAGAGGGGGAUCGGCCACACUGGAACUGAGACACGGUCCAGGCUCCUACGGGAGGCAGCAGUAGGGAAUCUUCCGCAAUGGGCGAAAGCCUGACGGAGCAACGCCGCGUGAGUGAAGAAGGUCUUCGGAUCGUAAAACUCUGUUAUUAGGGAAGAACAAAUGUGUAAGUAACUAUGCACGUCUUGACGGUACCUAAUCAGAAAGCCACGGCUAACUACGUG